GGGGGCGUAAGCUAAACGUCAAACUGGUGGAUUCCAAACUCGCCUUUCUCGGUUCAAAUCCGAGCGCCCCCGCCA
rnacentral:tRNA from 1 species